rnacentral:lncRNA from 1 species
AACUUAGUUAUUAAAAGUGGUUAAUUACAAGAUUAUGGUUAGAAUCUGGGAAUAGGGAGUAAGUAUAUAGGAGUUGUAGAAGUUAAUCUGAGUGCUAGACUAUGAUAGUCAUGAGUCGGGGUUAAGCUUGGUACUACCUCUUUAUUUUUCUUUAUUGUUGAACAGUAAUGGAUAGUUUUUGAAUACUGAGAAGUGAGUUUGUGGAAUAAAUCAGAGAUUGAUUUAUGAAUAAUUGAUUAUGUAAUUGAAAUACUGAGUGAUUGAAUUAUAUGAAGACUUAUUGAAAGAUUAUGAUUGUUGUUUAUUGAGAGCUGUGUAUGUUUUGACAAAGAAAGUUGGUGAUUAUAAAAAUUAUGUGAAUUUAGAUUGGUUAGAGUGGAGUCUGUUAAUUCUGGCAUUGGAUGGAAAUUAUGUAUUUUGAGCAGUCUUUUGAGAGUACAGAGUUACACACUGUUAUUAUCAGUUGAUGAAGGAGUAUUGUUAGUAGGAGAAAGUAUUGUAAUAUUUUUUGGUGUUUUAGUGGUUCGAAAUAUAGUUAAUUAUGUGACCCUAAUAAGUAAAACUCAUGCACUUAGUCUUUCCUUGUGUUUGAAUUUCCUUAUACAUGUUUAUUCUGAAAAGAAUUGAAGAAUAAAUAAAACAACAAUCAAAUUUUUGCACUGCUGCUAGAGAUAGACAAUAACAUUGAGUGUUAGGAAUUAAUUGCCGGUUUAGUUAGAUAGAAGAUAGGAAGUAAAUUUAGUAGAAUAUAAUGAAAGCGUAUAGUUA